CAGGGCGCGCAGCCUCAGGACGCCGACAGCCGAAGUAGUGUUUCAACAUGUUUUAAAUGAGUUACUUGUUCAUUUGACACAGCGACAGUUACCGUCUGUCUUUGCUUUGAGUUGCCGCGGCAUGUGCUUUACUUUUGUUGUUGUAGCGUAGUUUAACACACUCAUACACACGUACAUGUUAACCUUCGUUCAUCCGCUUCAUCUACUGGACAACAAACCUAAGUCCCUUAACGAGUGUCCUCACUGGCCAACUUCUGUGACCAAACUUCUUCAUGAAUAUCUGCCAACACAAGCCAAGCUCCUGGAAAAAGAUAGUGUUCCAUAAAAUGUGGUUUCCAGUCCAAAAAAGAUAACAUUGGCAGGAAGAUUACCAAUAUGACCCCAUUGCUCCUUGCAGACUUCCAGGUUGAUGAUGGAGACGUCCACCACUCUCAGAUCAUCAACAGCUGGACCACGAGUCUUUAUAGCUCCCCAUCCAGCCACCUUGCAGUUGUCUUGUGUGUUCAUUUCAGAUGUGGGAAGAGGAAUUGUUUGCACCCGUCUGUUCAGUGAAACCUUCUUAGACAGCUGGAGACACACAACGUUAAAACUAAUGCAAUGUCUAAUUUCAUAACAAUUGCUGGAAUAUGGAGCUGAUAACAAUAAAAAAGAUGACUCAACAAAGUGAUGUCACCUGGAAAUAUGUACUUACUUUGAGGAGCAUGAUGUCACUACCAUUUCCAACAUUUUCAUAACAUUUGUGUUUGUAUUUUUGUUUAAUGGAUAUCUUGUUGUCAUCAUUAACACUCUUGAGAUUGUGGGUGCCAAGAACAACAUGGGUAAUGCCACUGAAUGAGAGAUAACAAAGGGGG